UACGUAGGGGCCAAGCGUUGUCCGGAUUUAUUGGGCGUAAAGAGCUCGUAGGUGGUUUGUCGCGUUGUCCGUGAAAACUCACAGCUUAACUGUGGGCGUGCGGGCGAUACGGGCAGACUGGAGUACUGCAGGGGAGACUGGAAUUCCUGGUGUAGCGGUGGAAUGCGCAGAUAUCAGGAGGAACACCGGUGGCGAAGGCGGGUCUCUGGGCAGUAACUGACGCUGAGGAGCGAAAGCGUGGGGAGCGAACAGG
rnacentral:rRNA from 1 species